rnacentral:rRNA from 1 species
GAUGAACGCUGGCGGCGUGCCUAAUACAUGCAAGUCGAGCGAACAGACGAGGAGCUUGCUCCUCUGACGUUAGCGGCGGACGGGUGAGUAACACGUGGAUAACCUACCUAUAAGACUGGGAUAACUUCGGGAAACCGGAGCUAAUACCGGAUAAUAUAUUGAACCGCAUGGUUCAAUAGUGAAAGACGGUUUUGCUGUCACUUAUAGAUGGAUCCGCGCCGCAUUAGCUAGUUGGUAAGGUAACGGCUUACCAAGGCAGCGAUGCGUAGCCGACCUGAGAGGGUGAUCGGCCACACUGGAACUGAACCACGGUCCAGACUCCUACGGGAGGCAGCAGUAGGGAAUCUUCCGCAAAGGGCGAAAGCCUGACGGAGCAACGCCGCGUGAGUGAUGAAGGUCUUCGGAUCGUAAAACUCUGUUAUUAGGGAAGAACAAAUGUGUAAGUAACUAUGCACGUCUUGACGGUACCUAAUCAGAAAGCCACGGCUAACUACGUG